AGGGGGCCAAUUGCUCUGUUCGCACUACACAAACACCAAGUGCCGGAUUCAGUGACCGAUCAAAACACCAUUAUCUGCUCCCUCCAACUAUUCCACACCACCGGUUAAUCGCCAUGGAAUUCCCCUUCGGCCACCAUCACCACCACCGGAGAAAUGAUGAUGAUGAAGAGAGAAGGGAGCACUACCCACCACCUGACACUGCGCUCCCACCGCCAUAUCUUGGAGGGAAUGAAUCGGUACCACCACCACCACGCCCACCCUCCUAUUAUCAAGGAAGUGAAUUUCCACCGCCACACCGAAGACCUUAUUUUCAAGAAAAUGAGUUUGCACCUCCACCACCAGUGCAAGAAAGUCAUGUUUACCACUCAUCUCACAACCAAGAAGUGUACUCCUCUCUUGAUUAUCCACCACCGACGCAAGUGAUCCAUGUUUCUCAUGAGAAAACUGAGAGCGAGUCCUCUCAUUCUUUUAGGCCCCAUUUGCCAUCUUUCAUUCACCACCACACUCACCAGUCUGGCUCUGGUUCUGGGUUUGACCUAUCUAAUAAGCCUUCCUAUAAGGUUUAUUGCAAGGCUGAGCCUAAUUUUUUUCUCACGAUCAGGGACGGCAAAGUGAUUCUAGCA
rnacentral:misc_RNA from 1 species